CCUGCCCCUUGCCCCUCCCACCCAUAGCAUUUUGGCCAUGUGCCUCUUUGUGCCCCAUGCAUUGCCAAUGCUCUGCUCUGCUCAGUGUUUUGCUCCUGCAGGGGUGCUCCCCUCCCCGUCAAAGCUCGGAGAGCUCACAGCGCUACUCCGGAUGCUGCUCCCAGCAGCUGAGGUGGCUUUGGGAGACCCUGGAGGGAAUCCAAGCUGUGCAGGGAUCAGCUCUGCCUUCCCACCACAUGGCACUGUGGGAUACUUCCCCACAAUGCACUGCUCCCACUGUUGAUGACAUGAUCUGUUAACAGAGAGAGG